CAGCAGCCGCGGGAAUACGUAGGGUGCGAGCGUUAAUCGGAAUUACUGGGCGUAAAGCGUGCGCAGGCGGUUGUGUAAGACAGGUGUGAAAUCCCCGGGCUUAACCUGGGAACUGCGCUUGUGACUGCACAGCUAGAGUAUGGCAGAGGGGGGUGGAAUUCCACGUGUAGCAGUGAGAUGCGUAGAGAUGUGGAGGAACACCGAUGGCGAAGGCAGCCCCCUGGGCCAAUACUGACGCUCAUGCACGAAAGCGUGGGGAGCAAACAGGAUUAGAUACCCGUGUAGUCCCUGUCUCUUAUAC
rnacentral:rRNA from 1 species